rnacentral:rRNA from 1 species
UACGUAGGGUGCGAGCGUUGCCCGGAUUUAUUGGGCGUAAAGGGCGCGCAGGCGGUACGGCACGUCCGUUGUGAAAUCGCUCGGCUCAACUGGGCGGGGUCAGCGGAUAUGGCCGCACUUGAGCAAGCUAGGGGGCAAUGGAAUUCCCGGUGUAGUGGUGGAAUGCGUAGAUAUCGGGAGGAACACCAGUGGCGAAGGCGGUUGCCUGGAGCUUUGCUGACGCUGAGGCGCGAAAGCGUGGGGAGCGAUCCGG